rnacentral:rRNA from 1 species
UGGGGAAUAUUGCACAAUGGGCGCAAGCCUGAUGCAGCCAUGCCGCGUGUGUGAAGAAGGCCUUCGGGUUGUAAAGCACUUUCAGCGGGGAGGAAGGCGUUAAGGUUAAUAACCUUGGCGAUUGACGUUACCCGCAGAAGAAGCACCGGCUAACUCCGUGCCAGCAGCCGCGGUAAUACGGAGGGUGCAAGCGUUAAUCGGAAUUACUGGGCGUAAAGCGCACGCAGGCGGUCUGUCAAGUCGGAUGUGAAAUCCCCGGGCUCAACCUGGGAAGUGCGUUCGAAACUGGCAGGCUAGGUUCUUGUAGAGGGGGGUAGAAUUCCAGGUGUAGCGGUGAAAUGCGUAGGGAUCUGGAGGAAUACCGGUGGCGAAGGCGGCCCCCUGGACAAAGACUGACGCUCAGGUGCGAAAGCGUGGGGGGCAAACAGG